UCUUGUAGCAAUGAACAGUUUCACCCCGCUGUAAAGAUCUCGUGCCACCGCGCGUAAUUUCUGUCCCACGUCGAGGGCAUUUUCGUAACUUCACUAUGGGGUAUAAAAGCCCAGUGCCCAUAGGUUUUCUCCCCAAUCGUCUUCCUCCCUCUUCCUGUUCACAGAGGAGCCGCCGCCGCCGCCCCCGCUCCUUCCCCUUCAGCUCGCGCUCUUCCUCUCUUCCCCGCCCCCCUCGCUCCGCCGGCAGCCGGCCGCCGGCCCGCCGACUCCUUCGCCUUCGGGAAGCACUGCCGAGGCGGCCGCGUUGCUCUGGGUCGCGCGUCGCCGCGCACCCGGUCAACUCUGCAUGGGUCGCCUCACUCCUCCUCCUCCCCAUCGGAACCGGGCAGGAGGACGAGCGCGAAUAAGAGGCACAACCCUAGCCCUCCCUCGCCGCCAUCUAUCGCUCCCCCGUUCAUCCUCUCCAGCCGCCGCCGCCACCGCCACCCCAAUGUCUCCUCCUCACGCACCCUCUCCUCGCCACCGUCGUCGCAAGUGCCCACGCGGGUGGAUUAGGUGGUCAGAGCGGGAUGUGACAACGCAUCUGGCCGGAGGAGAACGUGGCAGCGGCAUCUCCUAGCGACGGCGCUGGGGCAGGCGAUGCUUCAAGGCGACGGGCUGAGGCGGCGGUGCAGGGAUCCGCUCGGUCUGCUGUUGCUGGUGCGGGCGGACGGGGGAGCGGGUCGAGGUGGCAGCUCCGUCGGCGAUGCCUAGGUUCUGAAGAGCCACCAUUUGUUCCGUUCGUCAAGGAUUCGACCGUCCUGCCAACUGCUGCUGCGUCGAGAUGUUGCAAGGGUUCUGGUCUGGGAGCUCUUCUUUUUCCUUCCUAUAUAUCUAGCGGUCUAAUAUUUGUGGAAGUGUUGUUAUGUGUGGCUUCAGUAGUUUGUUAGAUGUGUUGGCUGCUGCUAAUGCUUUCUUGGAUGCAUUAGGUGCUCGAGGCUGAGUAUGGUCGAAUUCCUUUGAUGGAUUAGGGGAUCUACUUGGGUCCUUGGUAUUUUUUGUUGCCAUGUGAGAGACUCAUCCGCAUGUCUAGAUUCCUGCCAGUUUUUUUUGUUCCGUCUGAAUUUGUCUGCUACUUAUAGGUUUGGCAUGGACUGCUGUUGUUGACAGCAUUGCCUCAUGAUACUUUCAGUAAUUCUUAACGGUAUCUUCAGUUAUUCUCAUGAUAUUAAUCUAUUCAGAAAGCUGCCAGGUUUUUUAGCUAGCUGUACGAAUGCCUUGUAAUCGGCCUUUACCAAGUAAAAACUGGAGCCCUUGUCAUUGAUUGGCUUUGUGUGUUGUUAGAUAUUGUAUGUAGUUCUAGUAGUAGCAGCUGCUGCUGCAUAAUGGUCUACCACUUGAGUUCGAGCCAAGAAGAAUGUUGGGCAACUACGAGGUUACAUACAUUCACUAGGUUGGGUACUGAAGUGCGUACAUAUUGAUAAUUGAAUAUUGAAUAGGUACAUUCGCCGGGAAUGAGGGUCUGCUAAUGUUAUGGGCUUGAUUGGCUUUGUGAGUGAGAGCAAGAUUGUGCUUUGCAGAUUGACUGAGUGUGCUUGGUCGAGGCGGAGCGCAAGGAGGAGGACACCUGAGUGGAGAUCUACUGCGCCGCCAAGCCGGGGCUACUGCUGUCAACGGUGAGCGCCCUGGACACGCUGGGCCUCGACAUCCAGCAGUGCGUCGUCAGCUGCUUCAACGACUUCGCCAUGCACGUCUCCUGCUCCGACGUACCAACGAUUCCAUCCAUGAAUUCAUCACUACACCAACCAACAUGGAUGGAUUCAUCUUCUUCUUCAGCAAGAUCAUCACUGGGCUCAUGCACUUGGAAUUCUUUGCCACCUGAUAAUUAAUGAAGGUAAUGAGUUCUUUAAGCAGCAAAAUUACCCAGAAGAAGUGAAACAUUACACUGAAGCGCUUAGGAGAAACGUAAAGGAUCCAAAGGUAUAAAGCAAUCCAGUUUUUCAGGAAAGAGUACGACAAAGCAAUGGAAACUUAUCAGGAAGGCCUAAAGCAUGAUCCGAGUAACCAGGAGCUGCUUGGAGCGCCAGCGCUUUUAACAGCUGGUUUGGAGAUCUAGGGAUACAAGCGCGUUCAGGAAAUUAUAUGGGUGAAGACCAAUAGACUUCAACGCAUUAUUCGAACUGGCCGCACUAGCCAUUGAGCAGGCAGGAGGAGGAAGCAGAGAGGGAGAGGGCGAGGAGAUCCUGGUCUGCACCUUGCGUCUCCCACAAGCUACUGCAACGGGAGAAUCGUAUACCCAAAAUCUUUCUCAAAGCCUACAGCUACUGCCUCCCCAAGCAAUGCCAACCUGCAGCAACAAGAUAAGCUACACUCUGUUUAUGUAUUACAUAUUUCAUUCAACUAUGCCCCUCUCUUUAAUCUUCCCAUUGUGAAUAGGUUAUAUGGUAAUAUAAAUAGCUGAUUUGAUAAUGGAAAAAACUGAUUUGAUAAUAGAAAUAGCUGGUUUGAUACAAACAUAUUGCUAACUCCUUAGGUGUAAUGUUGUUUAAAAGAUGCCACGGUCGUAUAUUUUUUUCAUGAGACAAACAUGUAUUUGUUUGUUUGUAGGGUUCAGAUUUUAAGAUCUCUGGUGGGCUUCUAUAGGAUUGGUAGAAGAGGAGGACCAGAGCUGACCAACUCUUCUCAAGGUCACCUUUCUACAACAAUGUGGACCAGACUAUCGUGAGAAUUUUUAGCAGAAUGAUUCUUGAUAUUAUGUUGGAUCAUGUUGGAAUUCCUAGAGCUAUUUAUCGGAGAAGGAUGUACCCGCAUAACACAAUGACUGUCACCGUGCUUUUCUACCGGAGAAAUGCACGCAUUUGAGUAUUUCUGUCAGCCAUCUUCGUAAACAAAUGUUGAUUACAUCUGGUCAUUACAUUCUUCGGGAGGAGACCUUGUGUUGAGCAUGACACCCAGUCUGGCCAGCCUUGCAACUGCCAGCAACCCGAUUCAUCGACUGUACGUUGAGCCAAGCAAUGGUCUUUGUUGUGAGGAGCCUGACUGCACCGAAUAUGAUGAGUUUCCUGGGUACUAUCCAUCUGACCAUGAGGACAACAAUAGUGAUUGCUUAUCUGAGCUUGAGCUGUGGUGAUUGCGACCGAUGUUUUGACCGCAUAAGAAGAUGAAGUUCUUUUCGUUUAUCGAGUAAUAUUAUCAUAGGUGGAUGUGAUGCCUCUAUAGAGGCGUUGUGAAUCAGUGUAGUAGCACACCACCCUAUCCUUAUUGUAAAUUAUGUGUGCUCAUCGCUA